UCUGCCUCCGCUCUGCCCCGAGCCGGCAUGCGCAGCGCCGGGCACCGGCGGCUCCUGCGCUGAACGGCGUGACGGAGGCCGCCCGGGCGCCGGCAGCGGGCGGGACACCGCGGCGGCGGGCGCUGCCGGCAGGUUCCGCGGUGCUGCUUCGCCGCGCUUCGUCCCGGAGCGGCUCUGCUCUUCUGGACUCAACAUCAGGGGUCUAUGUUUCUCCUGCGAGAGUUGCUCACAUGCCUAACAUCUUCAGGAUAACGGGGCAAAAGAUGCAGCCCCCUGUGUUACCUAGCACAGCAAGCAAAACAAAACAGAGCUUUAACUAUGCAAAAAAUGUAUCCCUAGCUCUGCUACUGUUUAUUGGAUAUGAUAAGCAUUUGCAUAAGUGA
rnacentral:lncRNA from 1 species